rnacentral:siRNA from 1 species
UCGUCGCAUUUUUGAUCGCCA